rnacentral:rRNA from 1 species
ACUCCGAUUGCGAAGGCAGCUGCUGGACUGUAACUGACGNUGAGGCACGAAAGCGUGGGGAUCAAACAGGAUNAGAUACCCUGGUAGUNCACGCCGUAAACGAUGAAUGCUAGCUGUUAGCGAUAUACUGUUAGCGGCACAGAGAAAUCGUUAAGCAUUCCACCUGGGGAGUACGCCGGCAACGGUGAAACUCAAAGGAAUUGACGGGGGCCCGCACAAGCGGAGGAACAUGUGGUUUAAUUCGAUGAUACGCGAGGAACCUUACCUGGGCUUAAAUUGCAGUGGAAUAACGUGGAAACAUGUUAGCCUUCGGGCCGCUGUGAAGGUGCUGCAUGGUUGUCGUCAGCUCGUGCCGUGAGGUGUCGGCUUAAGUGCCAUAACGAGCGCAACCCUCAUCGAUAGUUACUAACAGGUUAAGCUGAGGACUCUAUCGAGACUGCCGACGUAAGUCGUGAGGAAGGUGGGGAUGACGUCAAAUCAGCACGGCCCUUACGUCCAGGGCUACACACGUGUUACAAUGGGGGGUACAAAGGGCAGCUACCUGGCGACAGGAUGCUAAUCUCAAAAACCUCUCUCAGUUCGGAUUGGAGUCUGCAACCCGACUCCAUGAAGCUGGAUUCGCUAGUAAUCGCGCAUCAGCCACGGCGCGGUGAAUACGUUCCCGGGCCUUGCGCACACCGCCCGUCAAGCCAUGGGAGCCGGGGGGACCUGAAGUAUGCAACCGUAAGGAGCGUCCUAGGGUAAAGCUGGUGACUGGGGCU